rnacentral:rRNA from 1 species
UACGGGGGGAGCAAGCGUUGUUCGGAAUUACUGGGCGUAAAGGGCCUGUAGGCGGCCAACUCAGUCGGAUGUGAAAUCCCCAGGCUUAACCUGGGAACUGCAUCCGAUACUGGAUGGCUUGAAUUCGGGAGAGGGAUGCAGAAUUCCAGGUGUAGCGGUGAAAUGCGUAGAUAUCUGGAGGAAUACCGGUGGCGAAGGCGGCAUCCUGGACCGACAUUGACGCUGAACGGCGAAAGCUAGGGGAGCAAACGGG